rnacentral:rRNA from 1 species
GAUGAACGCUAGCGGGAGGCUUAACACAUGCAAGUCGAGGGGCAGCACGAUGUAGCAAUACGUUGGUGGCGACCGGCGCACGGGUGAGUAACACGUAUGCAACCUACCCUGUACAGGGGGAUAACCCGGAGAAAUUCGGACUAAUAUCGGAUAAGACCACGUAAUUUAUGUUACGGGGUAAAAGGUGGCUUGUUUUUAAAUGAGCUAUCACUUGAUGAUGAGCCUAUGGCCUAUCAGCUUGUUGGCGGGGUAAGAGCCCACCAAGGCUAUGACGGGUAGCUGGUCUGAGAGGACGACCAGCCACACUGGGACUGAGACACGGCCCAGACUCCUACGGGAGGCAGCAGUGGGGAAUAUUGGGCAAUGGGCGAAAGCCUGACCCAGCGACGCCGCGUGGGUG